AGCUCAGUUGGUAGAGCCCCGGAUUGUGAUUCCGGUUGUCGUGGGUUCGAGUCCCAUC
rnacentral:tRNA from 1 species